GACGGGCCCGCGACAAGCAGCGGAGCGUGUGGUUAAUUCGAUGUUACACGAAGAACCUUACCAGGGUUGACAUGCAAGUGGUAGGAAGCCGAAAGGUGACCGACCCUUCGGGGAGCUUGCACAGGUGCUGCAUGGCUGUCGUCAGCUCGUGUCGUGAGAUGUUCGGUUAAGUCCGCUAACGAGCGCAACCCUCGCUGUGUGUUAUAUGUGUCACACGGGACUGCCGGUCUUAAGCCGGAGGAAGGUGGGGAUGAUGUCAAGCCAGCAUGGCCUUUAUAUCCUGGGCUACACACACGCUACAAUGGCCAACACAAUAGGUUGCUAAGCCGCGAGGUGGCGCCAAUCCAUAAAGUUGGUCUCAGUUCAGAUUGUAGGCUGCAACCCGCCUGCAUGAAGAUGGAGUUGCUAGUAACCGCAGGUCAGCUAUACUGCGGUGAAUACGUUCCCGGGGCUU
rnacentral:rRNA from 1 species